CAGCAGCCGCGGGAAUACAGAGGAUUUAAGCGUUAUCCGGAAUGAUUGGGUGUAAAGGGUGUGCAGACGGCUUAUUAAGUCACUUGUUAAAUUCUUCGGCCUAACUGAAGGUCUGCAAGUGAUACUGAUGAGCUAGAGGGUGGAAGAGAGAAGUGGAAUUCUCGGAGUAGCGGUAAAAUGCGUAGAUCUCGAGAGGAACACCAAUGGCGAAGGCAGCUUCUUGGUCCAUUCCUGACGUUCAUACACGAAAGCGUGGGGAGCAAACAGGAUUAGAUACCCCAGUAGUCCCUGUCUCUUAUAC
rnacentral:rRNA from 1 species